rnacentral:rRNA from 1 species
AGCGCAGGCGGACCGGCAAGUUGGAAGUGAAAACUAUGGGCUCAACCCAUAAAUUGCUUUCAAAACUGCUGGCCUUGAGUAGUGCAGAGGUAGGUAGAAUUCCCGGUGUAGCGGUGGAAUGCGUAGAUAUCGGGAGGAACACCAGUGGCGAAGGCGACCUACUGGGCACCAACUGACGCUGAGGCUCGAAAGCAUGGGUAGCAAACA